AUGAAAUCUCAUGCAAUUAAGGAUUUACACUAUAAAUGAUAUUUGAAAGUCCUUUCAAAUUACACUCACAGCUACUUGCCUAAAGGUUUGUGCUACUUUAAGAGAAGUUUCAGACAUCACUCGCAUUGUAAAUCCUUAAUAAUCCUUGUUGUGCUUGCAUUCAUACGAUUACAUGUACCUAUACAAGAAUUUUUGAGAGAUAAUUUUCUAUUAAUAACGUAUCAGCUGGUUUGAGGAAAGUCUGUUUACAGAAGCACUGCACUGUACUUGUGAGGAGACCCCAGAUCAAGAGUGUUUGCCAGUGAUUGUCGUGCUUUUAUGACCGCAGUGUGAAGUCAUGAUUUGGCAUAUUAUUUCAAGGGGCGUUUACGUAUUUACUGGAGAUCCUAGCGUGGAAAUCUUUAUAUAACUUUAUCUGUAAGUUCUGGCCAGACUGUCUUCAGACAAUCUGCAGAAAGCCGCCCACAAACAAACAGUCAGUUUCUUUAGCACUCUUCACAAACGUAUACGCUACUUAACAAUUUUAAGAUUUGCGGAGAAAUCUGAAAUCAGGAACUUUAAAAGAUGAUCUCUAUUAUUGACGAAAAGACGUGUUUUGACUAAUUGUUAGGCCUUUUAUUACUUCCAAAAUUUAUUCAAUACAGUGAGACCAUUACCAUCUUUGUUAACUGGUUACUGCAAAUUUAAUGUACAACGACUAAUAGCACUGCAAAAAACGUACUUGCAGGGACAAUACUUUUAAAUAAGUGUGCAUCAAAAUCUGAAACAUUUAUGUACAUCUUUACAUUGCAGCCUUCACCAGGAAGUAAUUGCUCAGAGGGCCUUAGACAGGAGGCUAACAGAAGAACUUGUGCGAUUUAAGGCAUCCAUUAGCUCUUUGACCAGUGAACUUGCUUCAGUUAAAGCUCACGAUCGAGAGGUUACUCAGCAGGCUAGAUACGCCCAAGAUGAGCUUCAAGAAGCCCUUGAAGAAUCUGAAAAGAAUGCAAGGUGAGCUCCAUAUACUUCCACGAGUAAUGCAACGUUAAAUUUUAUCCCAUCGGUUGUAUGAAACGUAACUGAACUCCAUGGCUCGUGGUAAUUUUUAUGGAUCUUUGGUAAAUGUCUGUGUCCUUAGAAUUUCCGUAUUGUUCAACUCCAAACAAAUUGUUGCCCUUUUUUCACUGUAAGUUCACGUCUGUAAGGGUGGAACAAAGAUUGCUCUUAACAGAAACGGCUGCAUUUCUGUCAACUGAAUCGAACUGAGAAACAGAUGGGAAGAAACCACACAAGCCCGGCCAUCAAGAGCACAAACAUUCAGAGUAUUUUGUGUUAUUUUCACUCGUCCGCACAAAUUCACAAAUGAUGAGGGACAAACAAUAUCUAGAUGGUAUGGGGACAAUUUCCUGAAGGGAAACUAUGACAAGUACAAUGCAAUGUUGAUAAAUAGAGGGAAAAACAGCGACCAUUUCAUAAAUGUAAACAUUGAUGGAUAUACCAUCAAGUCCACCCCAGACCUCAA